GAUGAACGCUGGCGGCGUGCCUAAUACAUGCAAGUCGAGCGAACGGACGAGAAGCUUGCUUCUCUGAUGUUAGCGGCGGACGGGUGAGUAACACGUGGAUAACCUACCUAUAAGACUGGGAUAACUUCGGGAAACCGGAGCUAAUACCGGAUAAUAUUUUGAACCGCAUGGUUCAAAAGUGAAAGACGGUCUUGCUGUCACUUAUAGAUGGAUCCGCGCUGCAUUAGCUAGUUGGUAAGGUAACGGCUUACCAAGGCAACGAUGCAUAGCCGACCUGAGAGGGUGAUCGGCCACACUGGAACUGAGACACGGUCCAGACUCCUACGGGAGGCAGCAGUAGGGAAUCUUACGCAAUGGGCGAAAGCCUGACGGAGCAACGCCGCGUGAGUGAUGAAGGGCUUCGGAUCGUAAAACUCUGUUAUUAGGGAAGAACAUAUGUGUAAGUAACUGUGCACAUCUUGACGGUACCUAAUCAGAAAGCCACGGCUAACUACGUG
rnacentral:rRNA from 1 species